UCCGACUUAACGUCGGCAGUCUCGCCAGAGUGCUCAGCUUGACCUGUUAGCAACUGACGACAAGGGUUGCGCUCGUUGCGGGACUUAACCCAACAUCUCACGACACGAGCUGACGACAGCCAUGCAGCACCUUCUCACCGGCUCCCCGAAGGGCACCCCUCCAUCUCUGGAAGGUUCCGGCGGAUUUAACCCAGGUAAGGUUCUUCGCGUUGCGUCGAAUUAAACCACAUGCUCCACCGCUUGUGCGGGUCCCCGUCAAUUCCUUUGAGUUUUAGCCUUGCGGCCGUACUCCCCAGGCGGUCAACUUCACGCGUUAGCUUCGUUACCAAGGAAUUACUUCCCCGACAACCAGUUGACAUCGUUUAGGGCGUGGACUAC
rnacentral:misc_RNA from 1 species